ACUGAUCAUUUUCCCUUUUUCCCAAUUCAUCUCCUUCCCAAUCCCUAAUGAUUCCAAUUUUAAAUUCUGAUUUCCCAAAUUUCCCAAAUUAUUGGGCCCUAACUCCAUUUCUUCCUUGAAUCCUCUCUCCAUUUCACCUUCAUCCAUGGAAAUACCUCCCUCUUCAGACGAUCCUUGUCCCCAAGGAUCAAAAUCUAGAAAUUAGGCACGCAGAACAGUGUAGUCUUCCCACGUUGCAUCUUUCUUCCCCAAAUUUGUCCAUUGAAUCAGGAGUUGUGUAACUGCCUGAUUAUUUCGUUUCACUAUCCUUUUGUUUAACACACCAGCUGGGUAUACCUUCAAGUUUCCAUCAACAUCAAUCUCAGGUGAAUCGAGUGAGGGACCAAAAAAUCGAUCAGCAAGUUUUAAGUUCUUUCGAAGUGCCAGGGACGUUUGUUGGUAUGGUUAUAUCUUAAGGUGGAUCAACUCCUUUCUUGCUGCUUGUUGGAGUCAGUUGAUCUCCUUCAUCUGCACUUUUGGCUAUCAUCUGAAGAAUCCUCUGUGGACUGAGAUUCCAAGGUGGAUAAACGUUACUCUCAAUUAUCUCUUUGAGCUUCCCACCACCUCGGUGUCAAUGCUUUUGUCUGGUAGCGUAACAUAUUACUUCUUGGUUGGAUUCCUUCCAACGGCAUUUUCAAUAGACUCCGUAGGUGGGUUGUCCUCCUAGCCUUCAACUAAUUCAUCAAUCUGGACCUCUUCCUUGGGCUGAUCAAUAAUCCCUUCCCCAACAUUUACAUCAUGUAAUUUCUUAACCCCAAUAUUAUUUUUACUGAUCACUUUCCCUUUUUCCCAAUUCAUCUCCUUCCCAAUCCUUAACGAUUCCAAUCUCAAAUUCUGAUUUUUCAAAUUAUCCAAAUUAUUGAGCCUUAACUCCAUUUUUUCCUUGAAUCUUCUCUCCAUUUCGCCUUCAGCCACGACAAAACCUUGCAUUUGACAUAAAUUAAAGAACCAUAACAAUUAAUAUAAAACCCUAAACCCACGCAUAAAAUUUCCCAAGUUAAAAACUUGGAUGAAAUAGGAAAAGGGGUAGAGAGAAAUACACAUACCAAAUUGAAACUAUUUAGAAAAUUCAAAAUUG